rnacentral:rRNA from 1 species
ACUCAAAUGAAUAGACGGGGGCCCGCACAAGCGGUGGAUUAUGUGGUUCAAUUCGAAGCAACGCGCAAAACCUUACCUGGGCUUGAACUCCUGCUAAUCUGUUAGAGAUAAUGGAGUGCCGCAAGGAAAGUAGAGAGAGGUGCUGCAUGGCUGUCGUCAGCUCGUGUCGUGAAAUGUUGGGUUAAGUCUCGCAACGAGCGCAACCCCUGUCCUUAGUUGCCAGCAUUAAGUUGGGCACUCUAGGGAGACUGCCUGGGUUAACCAGGAGGAAGGUGGGGAUGACGUCAAGUCCUCAUGGCCCUUACGUCCAGGGCUACACACGUAAUACAAUGGCCAGUACAAAGGGAAGCAAGAUUGUGAAAUUAAGCCAAACUCAAAAAACUGGUCUCAGUCCGGAUUGAAGUCUGCAAUUCGACUUCAUGAAGUUGGAAUCGCUAGUAAUCGCGGAUCAGCAUGCCGCGGUGAAUACGUUCUCGGGCCUUGUACACACCGCCCGU